rnacentral:rRNA from 1 species
AUAUCAAUAAGCGGAGGAAAAGAAACCAACAGGGAUUGCCUCAGUAACGGCGAGUGAAGCGGCAACAGCUCAAAUUUGAAAUCUGGCCCUCGGGCCCGAGUUGUAAUUUGUAGAGGAUGCUUCGGGCGUGGUCCGGUCUAAGUUCCUUGGAACAGGACGUCGUAGAGGGUGAGAAUCCCGUAUGCGGCCGGGUGCCUAAGCCUAUGUGAAGCUCCUUCGAUGAGUCGGGUUGUUUGGGAAUGCAGCUCAAAAUGGGUGGUAAAUUUCAUCUAAAGCUAAAUACUGGCCAGAGACCGAUAGCGCACAAGUAGAGUGAUCGAAAGAUGAAAAGCACUUUGGAAAGAGAGUUAAAUAGUAC